AUUUCUAUCUUUAUACCUAUCCUGGGAAAUGCUGAAAUAGCAUCCAUUACAUUGGUUCUUCAAUCAAAGUUCUUUUGGGCUAUUUUUUAAAUGGCUUAUUUUAUAGGCAGAGCUCUGGAGAAAUAUAGAAUAUGUGUAUGUGGGUACCAUAUAUGUAUAUAUAUGUAUGUAUGUAUGUAUAUAUAUAAUGUUCUAUAUAUAUUUAGAAAUUUAUCAGACUGGCUCACAAGCUGUGGUCUAGCCAGUCCAACAAUGGUUAUCCACCAACAGAACAUCUAACAGUCCAACAGUUGUUCAAUCCACCAGGCUGGAUAUCCCAGCUGAUCUCCAGCGGACACUGGAAUCUGUAAUAGUAGUAAAGGAAUGGACUUGCCAGAAAAAGUAAGGAUGAGCAGGCAGAGGAUGCAAGCUUUCUUUUCCUAUGUCCUUUAUGUAGGCCACCAGCAGAAGAUGCGGCCCAGAGUAAAGGUGAUUUCCCACCUCAAAAGAUCUGGAUUAAAGAAAGAUAUAUCUUCCCACCUUAAAAGUUUGUUUUAAGAAGAAAAAAAAAAAAAAGCCCUCACAGGUGUGCCCAGCUGUUUGGGUUUUAGCUGAUUACAGAUGUAGUCAGGUUACCAAUCAAGAAUAACUGUCAUAUUUAUAUUUUAAAAACAACAGAAACAACAAAAAUGUCCUUGAAAAGUGGAUGCAAAGGGAAGCUCAAUGUCUGCUUAUUACUCUAAACUAUUUUUCAAAUCAUAGCACCAUAAUUAAAAAAACAUUUUAACUAUCCUAUCUUUUUUAAUUAAAGAAUUUGAGGACUAUAGACAGCUAAGGAAUGCUACAAGAGAAAGAGAUCGUCUUCACCAAAGAAGAGCACACCAAUUAAUUAUCCAGUAUG
rnacentral:lncRNA from 1 species